ACGAAAUUUUUCUCGCUGAAAAUCGAAAACGAUAUCGAGAGACGUUGGCGACGUUCGUGGAGGUGCGAUUUCUUGCAGCAACGUCAGGGUGAUUUUUAAGCUAAAUUAAAACACGGUUACUGGUUCGCGGAGAAUUCGUGGCAUCGUUAACGAUGGAACCACUGGACAUCCUUCAGGAGGAAAACUUGGAAAAUCCGAUACAACGUAGAGUCGAAGCGGUAUGCGGUAUGCGGCAUUAAAUUUCAAUGAAUUAUUCUCGUUUGACCCAGUAGGUGGUCGCUUUCGGGAAUGAACAAUGAACAGAGAAUUUCUGAUAGGUAUUCUCGAGACACCGCGUCUCUCAGGGAGGUACAUGAGUUUACAGAUUCCGUUGAAUCUUUCACUAGCCUGGAACACCUAUCGAAGUCUAUUUCGGUCGGGAAACUGUCCUUCGACCGGGAGCUACUUUUAAAAGGAUUCGGAAGUUUAUCCUGAAAUUACAGUGACGUAAAAAUUGAACUUACGAGGCUUCGUUAGAGUUUGAUACGAAAGAAGAUUCACAACCGUCCGGGUGAGUUUCGAGGGAAGACCACGCGAACGAGCGACGUCUGUUUAUUAUAGCAGGCUUUGAUGAACUGCAGAGGCGGCUAAAGGUGACGGUACAGUACCGGACAAAAGGGAUUGCCACUCGUUGACAGCGUCAGAAAUCAUCGGAGCAUAGUACUCUCGGGGUUCAAAACCAUAAUGGAGUGAAAACAAAGAACAUCGCCGAUCGGAAUAUCUAGAACUACUUACCCUUUCAUAAUAUUCGAAAUUUA